CUCUCGUCGUUGUCGGUUUCGCAUGCCUCAGAGGCCACAAUGCUCACGAACAAGUGAUCGCUUUCAAAGGGCAUUUUCAUAAGCAUGGAAACAUAUUAUCUCAAGUAAGUCUUCUUUGUCUUCUGAAGAUUAACGGAUGCCUAAGGUGUCCAAUAUCAGUUCAGUGCUUCGGAUUUCUUUGAAGAAAAACAAUACAUUGUCCAUACAU